UAAAUAGCCAAAAAUUUUGUUUGUUUACAAAAGCUGCUUGAGAUGCGCAGCACAAUUUAAUUUAUCUUAUCAGCGGAGAUAAUUUGUAAUGGCCGUUUCCGCUAGAAAAUAAGUAUUAUUUGCGUUCUGAUACCGAUGCAAGUUGUUGUUUUGGGUAAAUUCCAAAUUCCUGCCCCGUAAUUAUUGGACUGACUCUUCCCGCGUGUUUUUCUCAACGUGUUCAAUGAAGAAAUUGUGGAGAACACUGAACUGGUAAGAUUGUCGGUGCAUGCCGGUAAUGAUUAAAAUAAAGUAGAUCACAUCGUACUUAUUUUCGGCAGGUAUAGCGCUGGCGUGGGCCUCAGAUAAUAAGUAAAAUUACGAUUAUGGCAUAGCAAACGUACCCUAUUAGUUUUACAUAUUUUUGUGUUGUACUGUGUAACGCAGACUGUUGAAACGCUUUCCGCUCUUAGACAGUUGCCGUAACAGAAUAUUGAUAAACUAACAAAUGCAGAAAAAUGCUUGUGAAUUUGUUAUACUGCUUCUUCUUGUGGCCGUAAUACAGCUGCUGUUUUAACAAGGCUUCUUUUACUUGGCAACCUAAGUAAAAUACUACAACACACACGUCAAGGAAGGAACAAAAAGCCAGCACUUGUUAUCGGUUUGGCAUAUUUUACUUAACUUUUUACUGACCAGGGCAUCAUUUCCAACUUUCCAGAUGCAUUUGGUUCUUGCUUCACUAUCAGCGCAAAAAAUCUAUUUGUAUAAAUAAGAUAAGUAUUUAAAUACUUAGCAUUUACGUUACGGUAACCUUUUCUGUUCAUAUGACUCUGCAGUUCAACUAACAAAAAAAUCCGCUGCUACGAUUACUAAUACGUAUACGUCAUCUCACAUAAAUAACUGUUGUACCGCAGUGAAUGUGUUGCAUGGCACAAUGUCAUGAUAUACGAGUUUGCAUCAACAAGCGCUGUUCCUGUAAGGAAUGGAAGCCCUUUGUAUGGUGUUGCCAUCUCCAUUGUUUUUCUGGGAGCACUGCUUGCUGUUAUCGAUGGUGUCAACAGUUGUGCCGGCACCAAUGACUAUGACUUUAUGGGACACGUGGUUACGGGAGUGUUUGCGGGAGCCUUAUUCAUCGUAACCGGCACGAUUGGGAUAUUUGCGUAUCUGGAGGAAUCAGCGGAAGUGUCCAGCAAUUAUUACACUGCCUUUUUAGUUCUUAGCAGUAUUAGUGCUAUAGUGUGCUUUGUUUUAGUUGUACUUAAUGUCCUAAACUUUGGUGCGCCAUUGAUGGCGGGCCUGAUUUACAGCAAUGCCAAAACUGGACUUAAAAGCCUUUGUGCUGUCCGCAGCGUCACACUGCUGAUUUACUUUUUAUUGUUCAUAAUUUUUGUUGUUGCUGCUGUAUCCAGCAGUAAAUUCAGAUGACGUGAUACC